ACGAGAAGUUAUGGAUAAUUGAAGAUGACUGGAAAGUCAAGCCAUAGAGUGUAAUAGCCACGUAAGUGAAAUUCAUAAUAAUCAAGUUCUGAUCCAGAGUACCACGAGACACGUGAAACCUUGUGGGAAGCAGGGAGGACCACCUCCCAAGGCUAAAUACUACCUGAUGACCGAUAGUGAAGCAGUACCGUGAGGGAAAGGUGAAAAGAACCCCGGGAGGGGAGUGAAAUAGAACCUGAAACCGUGUGCCUACAACCGGUCAAAGCCCCUUAUGAGGGUGAUGACGUGCUUUUUGUAGAACGAGCCAACGAGUUACGGUAUGUAGCAAGGUUAAGUACUUAAGGUACGGAGCCGAAGGGAAACCGAGUCUUAAUAGGGCGACUAGUUGCAUGCCGUAGACCCGAAACCGGGUGACCUAUCCAUGGCCAGGUUGAAGCGGGGGUAAAACCCCGUGGAGGACCGAACCACGUUGCUGUUGAAAAAGCAUGGGAUGAGCUGUGGAUAGCGGAGAAAUUCCAAUCGAACUCGGAGAUAGCUGGUUCUCCUCGAAAUAGCUUUAGGGCUAGCGUCGGAUAUGAGUAGUGGAGGUAGAGCACUGAAUGGGCUAGGGGGCAUAGCGCUUACCGAACCUUAUCAAACUCCGAAUGCCACAUACUAUUAGUCCGGCAGUCAGACUGCGAAAGAUAAGUUCCGUAGUCAAAAGGGAAACAGCCCAGAUCGUCAGCUAAGGUCCCAAAGUGUAAGUUAAGUGGAAAAGGAUGUGGGAUUUCUAAGACAACUAGGAUGUUGGCUUAGAAGCAGCCACUCAUUAAAAGAGUGCGUAAUAGCUCACUAGUCGAGAGAUCCUGCGCCGAAGAUGUCCGGGGCUCAAACUUACCACCGAAGCUACGGGUUCACACUUAUGUGUGAGCGGUAGAGGAGCGUCGUAAUCGGGCUGAAGUCGUACCGUAAGGAGCGGUGGACUGAUUACGAGUGAGAAUGUUGGCAUUAGUAGCGAGAUGUGGGUGAGAAUCCCACAGGCCGAAUAUCUAAGGUUUCCUCAGGAAGGUUCGUCCGCUGAGGGUUAGUCGGGACCUAAGCCGAGGCCGAAAGGCGUAGGCGAUGGACAAUCGGUUGAUAUUCCGAUACCACUACUGAUCGUUAUUAUCGAUGGUGUGACGGAGAAGGAUAGAGUGUGCUAGCUAUUGGAUGCUAGUCUAAGCGUUUAGGGAGUUAGGAAAGGCAAAUCCGUCCUAACAAUUCUGAGGCGUGAUGGGGAAGGUUCUACGGAACCGAAGUACUUGAUUCCAUGCUUCCAAGAAAAGCAUCUAGAGAGAGAUGUAGUGCCCGUACCGCAAACCGACACAGGUAGAUGAGGAGAGAAUCCUAAGGCCGGCGGAAGAAUCACAGUUAAGGAACUAGGCAAAUUGACCCCGUAACUUAGGGAGAAGGGGUGCCUGUGAGAGCAGGCCGCAGAGAAUAGGCCCAAGCAACUGUUUAGCAAAAACACAGGUCUCUGCUAAAGCGAAAGCUGAUGUAUAGGGGCUGACGCCUGCCCGGUGCUGGAAGGUUAAGGGGAACACUUAGCGCAAGCGAAGGUGUGAACUUAAGCCCCAGUAAACGGCGGCCGUAACUAUAACGGUCCUAAGGUAGCGAAAUUCCUUGUCAGGUAAGUUCUGACCCGCACGAAUGGCGUAAUGACUUGGGCACUGUCUCAACUGUGAAUCCGGCGAAGUUGUAGUGCGAGUGAAGAUGCUCGCUACCCGCGAUUGGACGGAAAGACCCCGUAGAGCUUUACUGUAGCUUAGCAUUGAAUUUCGGUAUUGUCUGUACAGGAUAGGUGGGAGACUGGGAAAUCAGGGCGUCAGCCUUGAUGGAGUCGUCCUUGGGAUACCACCCUGACAGUACUGAGGUUCUAACUGGAUGCCAUGAAUCUGGUGACAGGACAUUGUUAGGUGGGCAGUUUGACUGGGGCGGUCGCCUCCUAAAAGGUAACGGAGGCGCCCAAAGG
rnacentral:rRNA from 1 species